UACAGGGGGGGCAAGCGUUGUUCGGAAUUACUGGGCGUAAAGGGCUCGUAGGCGGCCGGCUAAGUCCGACGUGAAAUCCCCAGGCUUAACCUGGGAACUGCGUCGGAUACUGGCGGGCUUGAAUCCGGGAGAGGGAUGCGGAAUUCCGGGUGUAGCGGUGAAAUGCGUAGAUAUCCGGAGGAACACCGGUGGCGAAGGCGGCUUCCUGGACCGACACUGACGCUGAGGCGCGAAAGCUAGGGGAGCAAACGGG
rnacentral:rRNA from 1 species